GGUUAAGCGAAUAAGCGUACACGGUGGAUGCCUAGGCAAUCAGAGGCGAUGAAGGACGUGCUAAUCUGCGAUAAGCGUCGGUAAGGUGAUAUGAACCGUUAUACCCGACGAUUUCCGAAUGGGGAAACCCAAUAUCCAAUGGAUAUUAUCAUGACGUGAAUACAUAGCGGCAUGAAGCGAACCGGGAGAACUGAAACAUCUCAGUACCCCGAGGAAAAGAAAUCAACCGAGAUUCCCCUAGUAGCGGCGAGCGAACGGGGAACAGCCCAGAGUCUUAAUCAAUAGCAGCAUCAGGAGAACGGUCUGGAAAGUCCGGCAGUAAAGGGUGAUAGCCCCGUAUCCGAAGAUGCUGUUAUUGUGAACUCGACGAGUAGGGCGGGACACGUGUUAUCCUGUCUGAAUAUGGGGGGACCAUCCUCCAAGGCUAAAUACUCCUGAUUGACCGAUAGUGAACCAGUACCGUGAGGGAAAGGCGAAAAGAACCCCGGCGAGGGGAGUGAAAAAGAACCUGAAACCGUGUACGUACAAGCAGUAGGAGCC
rnacentral:rRNA from 1 species